rnacentral:lncRNA from 1 species
AAUGUCUUUUAAUUUUUAUGCCCCACCUACGAUAGUAGAGGGGCAUUAUGUUUUCUGGUCUGUGCGUCCGUUCGUCCGUCCGUUCGUUCGUCCGUCCGUUCGUUCGUCCGUUCGUCCGUUCGUCCGUCUGUCCCGCUUCAGGUUAAAGUUUUUGGUCGAGGUAGUUUUUGAUGAAGUUGAAGUCCAAUUGACUUCAAACUUGGUACACAUGUUCCCUAUGAUAUGAUCUUUCUAAUUUUAAUGCCAAAUUAGAGAUUUUACCCCAAUUUCACGGUCCACUGAACAUAGAAAAUGAAAGUGCAUGUUUCAGGUUAAAGUUUUUCAGGUUAAAGUUUUUGGUCAAGGUAGUUUUUGAUGAAGUUGAAGUCCAAUCAACUUGAAA